UGCGUAGGCGGUCCGGCAAGUUGGGUGUGAAAGCCCUCGGCUUAACCGAGGAAUUGCGCUCAAAACUGCCGGACUAGAGGGAGACAGAGGUGAGCGGAACUUAGGGUGGAGCGGUGAAAUGCGUUGAGAUCCUAAGGAACACCAGUAGCGAAAGCGGCUCACUGGGUCUCUUCUGACGCUCAGGCACGAAAGCUAGGGGAGCGAACG
rnacentral:rRNA from 1 species